CCAGGAAGUGGCUGUUUGGCUUGGACGGAGGCACAGUGACACAGACACAGGUGGCUCUGUCCAUUUGGCACACGGUUGGGCCCACUGCCAGCAGUCCUCCUGCCCUCCCCAACAGUGACCCCGGGCACCAAGAAGCAGAUAUAAUACCAGUUCCAAAAUAUUUGAGCAGUUACGCAUCCUGGACAUGGACAGCUAGCACUGCAGUACAUUGUAAAGACUUCAGUAACUUCACAAAACAGGACUCCUGCCUGCAAUAUCACCUCUGGCUCCCUCCUGAGACACCCAGACCCUCCCUGAGUACAACUGAGAUCUGUUUCACAUUUCCAACUGGCUAAAAGUGAUUUGUGUGGACACGAAUACAGUAAGAAAUAAAAUUGCAGGAGGAAAGAACUAUAGAAAGGUUGAAGGGCUAAAGAGAUGUUCUGUACCUCUGCAUCCUCAACUGAGGCUGAAAUAAGCUGGUACAAAACCCACUGGAGAAAUGGUAGAGAAAAGUUGCACCACACCUUAUGUAAAAUAAAAACACCAAAACCA